UAGUUUUGAUAAGUAUCCCUUGACAGGAAAUAUUUCAGGAACACUUGCUAAUGUUAUGAGAGGACAGACUUGAUCGACGCGGCCGUUCUCUCGUCAUAACCAGGGAUGAUUAGUGUUAUACGACUCUUAUAUACUUUGAUUUUCAUGUGUCAGUGCGUCAUGCUGGUCAUCUUGUUAAGUAGCUUGGGUAAAGUUGAGUGAGGAAUGAGUCUGCAGCGUAGGAUUACUGAGACUGACGUGGCUUGGUUGAAGCGAAGUGUGGUGUCCUCCGUGGUGUGCACAUGCCGUGGUAUAGGUGCGGUGUGCUGUGGUCAGGUGUUCUUUGAUGUGUGCUUGUCGUGGUGGUGUGUGGUGUGGUGGUGUACUGAGGUAUAGUGGGGCCGAGAUCUGGUGGACAAGAAUGUACAGCAAGAACUUGCAGAACUCGGACAGAAGUGAAUUACUGGAUCUGAACACCUGAGUAGCCCAAGAGUGACACCACCAUUGAUGAGACACCCGAGGACAACCUCUGGCUACAACUGGGCUUUACUGUGGACUCUGAGACAGGUAGAAGGCCGACCAUUGGAGAGCCUGCGCACCAAGACAGCCGGCUCCCCCCCCCCCCACUGGCAGGCCGGUGGGAGGGGGCAGUUUGGGUCAACACCACCUGGGCUGCAGUGUCCCUGGCCCAGUGGAGCGAAGGGGGGUGUCCCAUCAACCGGUACAGUGUUGUCUACAGACAAACCAGUGCUGUUACCUGGAUUGUGGUAUCCAAGAGGGUGGAAGGGGGCCGGCCAGUGUGAUAGGGGGCCUCACACCCUCCACCCAUUACCUGGUGCAGGUGACUGCUUACAACUCUGCUAGGAGCUACUCCAGGGCUACUCCACCACCAUGCCCCUUCCUGGAGGCCCCUCCUCCCCUGGGUUAGUGAUGCCUGGGGUGGCCAUGACAGAUGUGAGGGUUCUGCUGCCCGUGGUUGCCUCCUCCCUGUCUGCUGGCCACUCUUGUCACCCGUUUGUGUUUGUGUCAGGAGGAAGUACGCAGACAACAUCUAUACAGCCUUCCAAAUGAACAACACACACCAACAACAUCAUCAACAACCACAACAACAACAACCAUCACAGCAACAACCAGUCACAGCCACCACAACCACCACCAUCACCACCACCACCCACACCACCAACAGCAGCAAUAACCACAGCAGCAACCACAGCCAAAAACAGCAACAACAACAACAACAAAAAUUAGGCCAGACACAGUGACCUUGCUUACAACAACAACUACAAUAACAAUAACAACAACAACAACCCCACCACAACGCUUCCCACAGCCACUACCAGCCAUGUGCUUAUUAUUAUAGCAAAGACCUUCAUCUCCGGAUUAACAACAGGUCGGAGCUCACAGUCAUGUUUGUGGCUUUCUUCUGCUCCACCAGUAAGAGGGGAAGCUGUUUUUUUCUCUACAUAUAUACAAGUUUGACUAAGCACUGUUACAAACUGCAGCUGUCUGUCUUCAGGUGGACCAUUACUGCCCCGACCCAACACUUGCAGCGCAGACCUUCAGACAGUACACGCACUUCCGCCAGUGAUGCUGUGUUGUAGAGAGAGGAAGAGAAGACAGAAAAGAGAGAAAGGAGAUAGGUGGUGGUGGUAGUAGUAGUAGUAGUAGUAGUAGUAGUAGUAGUAGUAGUAGUAGUAGUAGUAGUAGUAGUAGUAGUAGUCAUUGUGUGGGCCCCUCUCUCUCUCUCUCUCUCUCUCUCUCUCUCUCUCUCUCUCUCUCUCUCUCUCUCUCUCUCUCUCUCUCUCUCUCUCUCUCUCUCUCUCUCUCAGCCCCACAGUAUGCUUACAAACCCACAGUCACCCCCCACAGCCAACCCCCACCCCUUUAUAUGUGUGUGUGUGUACUCUUCAAUAAAGGUAUAUGGUAA